UCCCGGUUAACCCGGGCAGUCUCGUUAGAGUUCCCGCCAUUACGCGCUGGCAACUAACGAUAAGGGUUGCGCUCGUUGCUGGACUUAACCAAACACCUCACGGCACGAGCUGACGACAGCCAUGCAGCACCUAUAUAGAGACCCUUACGGGAUAUAACAUCUCUGUUAUAGUCCUCUAUAUUUCGAGCCCAGGUAAGGUUCUUCGCGUUGCAUCGAAUUAAACCACAUGCUCCACUGCUUGUGCGGGCCCCCGUCAAUUCUUUUGAGUUUCACCCUUGCGAGCGUACUCCUCAGGCGGCAUACUUAAUGCGUUAGCUCCGGCACAGGGGGGGUUGAGCCCUCCUACACCUAGUAUGCAUCGUUUAAGGCAAGGACUAC
rnacentral:misc_RNA from 1 species